rnacentral:sRNA from 1 species
UACAAAUAUUAUAUUUCUCGUCUCACCGA